rnacentral:tRNA from 1 species
GGGCGUGUAGCAUAGUUGGUUGGUGCACACGACUGAUAAUCGUGCGGUCCCCGGUUCAAAUCCGGGCAUGCCCA